CUGACGUGUGCAUAAACCCUGGGUAAUUUAGGGAGUGUCAGCACUUAAUUCUGAGAAUUCCUAUUUUACUACAUAGUAAGUAUUCCUUUUGAGAAAAUUCAAUCACACCUAAUCACUCACAUCGACACAGCAGACACUGUAGUGAAGAGUAUCUGCCCGCCAAUGGCAUUAUAACUGCGUUAAAUUAUUAAAUUACUAUUAAUCUGACAAAUUUAUCGUUGGGAAUAGUAAGAUAUAGUAAGAUACUGAAAAUAUUUCCACAGUGCUUUAAUUUAACAAGUUUUCCCAUCUACUUUUCUAUUUAACCUUCAAAGCAAUCCCUUGAGGAGGAUAUUAUUAACCUCAUUUUAUAUAAGAAGCAGUUAGGUCUUAGGAUAAGUAAGCUUCCCAAGGCCUCACAGGUAGUAAACAAGCUCAGUGCCCUUUCUUUUCCACUCAGAAAAAGUCCAUAAGGCCCCUACUUAAUGCUUACCCCACCCCACCCAGCNAAGGGUAACCUGACACGGAUCAGAACUAAACCAGGAAGCUGCCGCGUCGCCAUCAGACUAGUCACUCAUUCGUAAGGGGCCACUGUGAGUCAGUCUUGAUAUUAGAAGUUAAUGACCCAGUCACCACAACACCUCCUGUGCACAAGGCAUUAUCUUAAGUGGUACAAGUCUACAAAGUCUUAAAAUAUGGUAGAAGUACAUAUCAUAAUAAAAAGUAAAUAAAAUGCUAAAAGGGGGCAAACCA
rnacentral:lncRNA from 1 species